ACGGAGCAAUACCGCGUGAGGGAUGACAGCCUUUGGGUUGUAAACCUCUUUUAUCAAGGAGGAAGUUCUGACGUGUACUUGAUGAAUAAGCAUCGGCUAACUCCGUGCCAGCAGCCGCGGUAAGACGGAGGAUGCAAGUGUUAUCCGGAAUCACUGGGCGUAAAGCGUCUGUAGGUGGUUUAAAAAGUCUGCUGUUAAAAAUUGAAGCUUAACUUCAAAGAUGCCGUAGAAACUUUUAAACUUGAGUAUGGUAGGGGUAGAGGGAAUUUCCAGUGGAGCGGUGAAAUGCGUAGAUCUUGGAAAGACCACCAAUGGCGAAGGCACUCUACUGGGCCAUUACUGACACUGAGAGACGAAAGCUAGGGGAGCAAAUGGGAUUAGAUACCCCAGUAGUCCUAGCUGUAAACGAUGGAUACUAGAUGUUGUGUGUAUUGACCCAUGCAGUGUCGUAGCUAACGCAUUAAGUAUCCCGCCUGGGAAGUAUGCUCGCAAGAGUG
rnacentral:rRNA from 1 species